ACAGGAGAACCGAGUGCAAGGUAAUAUCAGCCUGAGCUGGAGGAAGCAGGUGGAUGGAAAGAUCUACAUGGAGCAGCAGGAGGACUAGGAAGAUGAUGAGAAAUCUGCUUCAGAGAUAUAUCUCGGGUUUUCCUCGACCAAUCAACCGCCACCACAACAACCACCAUGCCCAGUUUCAGCUCCAGUUCAGCAAGUUUCACACAUGGAACAUCCCGUCAGAGUUUCAGCUCCAGUUCAGCAAGUCACACACCUUCAGGUUCAUCACCGAUCACUGAUUAUUCAGCUGUGAUCCAGGAGUAUCUUCAGGUCCAUCCAAUCACUACAUCUGAUGAGUUUUACCUCCACUUAUCAGAAUGACGCUCAGUUUGAUGCUGAUUAGUAUUUUUAAGGAUUUAUUGGAUGUUUGCCUGUAAGAAACAGAGAUAAAUAUUUUCUUCACAUUUUCACCACACAGUCUGACAGAUCCUGGGUUGGUUUGCUAAGACUGUUUUUACAUAUAGAUUAUGUUUGGAUGCAUUUUGUGCAAAUUCACAGUAAAGUUGUAAUGUUGCUGUAAUUUCUGUCUCUGGCCUUCAUCAUCCUGUUAACUGCAGGCCUGCUGGUCUUCCGUAGAAACAGAUCAGAGAAACAUGAUAAAGGUACAAACAACAUAAAUUGUGAAUGAAACCUGCAGUGGUGACCUAAAUAACUGCAAAUUUUUCUUCAGCAUUUCAGUCCAACAUAAGAUCUUCCUUCAGGGGUUUUAGCAAAGAUAAAUAUAUGUGUGCACAUAUCCAAUGAAGCUUUAAAAUUAGGAGGCAGUCAGUAGAAGGUUCUCCUACUGCCUGUCCUGAAAGAAGAGGUCGAGAAGCCUGGAUGGAUGAAUGGUUCCUUAUAGAUGUUGACCUACCUGAGGUACUUAAACUACACCAAAGCAGCAGGGAUCCAAGUGUGGAGCAGAAAUCUGCUGAGAUGCUACAGCUCUGGAUGCUACUAAGCUGUGCAACAGUAAAUAGAGGUCUGGAACAUUGCCACCAGGACUGUGGUUCCUCUGCAGAUUGUGGAGCACUGAUCCUGCUCUGUAUUCUUGGAAAGAUGUUCGAGGGUGAAUGGAGUUUGUCCAACUGGUCUUCAUGUAUUUUAUUAAUAUGGACAAGAAUGUCAUCCACUGUGUCCCCUGUCCUUUUUGGUUGGGCUACUUUAAGACUCCAGGGGUUUUGGGACCAUUUGGUUCCUUCACUGUCAUGUUACGGUUUGCUUGGACCAUAGAGUAGAUCUUCAGUGGACGUGAAAACUGGUUUAAAUGGGUUAUUAAAUAAAGGUUUGUCAGUUUGUUCAACACUGAAGGAAACAUAAGAACCUGUAGAAAAGGUUGUGAUGUUGAGGAGGUCUGAAAGCAGGUUUCUGAAACUUCUGGUCUGUUUUUCAGAUCCUUUAAGGAAAACAAAGAAACUUUCCACAACUGAGGCUGAAGUCAGUGAAGAUGUAGAAACCUCUACAGAAUACAGUUUAAUCUCAUUCUGUAAACUAGGAGUUGAAGCCAAUGGCAUCUACAGCUUGGUGACUGCAGGUCCUCCUCAGAACACAGCUGAAGAUGAUGUGAAGGAACUAACCUAUGCCCAGGUGAGUUUCUGUAUCAGUACCUCGGACUCCCCGCUCAGAUCCUCUGUCUUUAUGGAUCUGGUUUACUCGGAGCCUCGGGUGGCUGAUGGCUGCUAGGCUGGAGAAGAGUCUCUGUACUCCAACAUUACGUAGUUCCGGAACCACAGGGAGAAACUGGCUUUACUCACUGUUUUACUAAAAUGCUGCUAGAUUCAGUUACACAACAUCUCUGCAGGAUCAGGUGCUGCUUCAGCAACAUGACCAUAAAUGUGCAGCUGUUCUACUUUAGCUUCUUCUUCUGCGUCUGUAAUGAUUAUUAUUUGUGGUUGAUUUAUUUGGGGCGGCACAGUGGCGCAGUUGGUAGCACUGUUGCUUUGCAGCAAGAAGGUCCUGGGUUCGAUUCCCAGCCGGGGGUCUUUCUGCAUGGAGUUUGUAUGUUCUCCCUGUG